CUCGCCUUCCUCCUACAGCUUCCCCGCUGCCAGUGGAGAAAGAUGUCGGCGGCGGCAGGGAGCAUGGGAUCGAUGGAGGCAGCUGACACUAGGAGUUUUCUUAGGUGGUCCAUGGCAAGGAAGAGUGUGUCGCCCACAAAAAUUGAGAGAGCAGCAUCAAAAAAUAUUGGAAAAGUCGUCCAUGUGUUCAUUGACUUCUGAGAUGAUACUCGAGGGAAUUAUGCGAGCUGGCCAUCUGAUUUGUCUUCUUCCUUGCCCAGCAGCAUGCUCAGCUUCAGCUUCCAGCUUAUUGUUCUUUUGUUGGAAGCUACAUCACAAAGCUGAGGCACUACAAAAAUUCAAUAGUAUGAAAAAAAUUCAGCGUGAAGGUACAUGAGGAGAUUCCAGUUUCGACACCAGGAAAGAGAACUCCUGGAGAUGACAGAAUAAGAAGCCUUUCGGACCCUGCAAUUCAGUGCUCUUCUUCCAGGUUUGUGCGUGUUGUUAUUUUUCUUCGAUGAAUUAUCAUUGAUCAAUAUGGACUAUGAAACUUUGUAAUGACUUUGUGAUUUGAGGCAUGAAACAAAUAGUAUAGGGCUACAAAGUGAUUCCACUGUGAUCAAAUUUCGAUAACGAUGCAUCUUUACUUGCUUUCUAUCUUGGACAUUGUUUAAUCGUGUUACUAUAUAUAUAAAGCACUAUCAUGUAUAACUUAAAGGUUCAGUUUUUAGAAUAACAU